GUUUGUGACCAUGUCAUGCCUGUGUGGGAGGGCCUCUGGCUGUGCUUCUAUAUAAAACAGUCUGGCUGUGACACUACGAAUCAGCACAUGUGCACCCAUCAGGAGCGGCUGCUGCGAUUCUUUUGACAGAUGUUGAGAAUGAAAAUGAUGAGGGCAUAUACGGUACUUGUGGUUGGUGAUGCUGAAGUCCGCUCCCACGGGCGGACCACUAGCCACUGCAGUAGCGGUGAAGCGCAGUGAACGAAGACUGAACCAGUGAGUCCCUCUCACCUGUCCCACAGCCCACGAGAGAGCAGAGUGGCGCUAGGCAUCUGAGUCCCUCUCACCUGUCCCACGGCCCACCGAGAGAGCAGAGCAGCGCUGGGCAUCUGAGGCCACCCAGGAACACUCCUGUCUCCUCCUGCCUGGCUUUGAAACAGAAGAGCCCCUCAACGAUGAAGCACUCCAAUCAACGAUGAACCAUUACAAUCAACGAUGAAGCAUUCCAAUUUAGCCAUCAUAUAGCGUCAUCCUCGGCUUUUCCAGACAUUUCACACCUUUAGUUUCACUUUUGAGCCUUAAGAUGCUUUGUGGAUAUGAGCCCAGGACUUUAGCCAACAUCACAGAAACAUCACAGAAACAUUGUCUUCACGCUAAAGAUGCUCUCCUUUCCUCGUGGGUCUGUGGCAUGGAGUGGGUCCGGUCAUUGGUCAGUUUACUUGGUUAUGUGGCAGGGAGUCCUUGAGCACCAGCUGGUCCAGCGCUGCUCAGGGAGGCCACAAGGAAACGCUCCUAUGAUAAUAAAACACAUCCCAUCUAUGAA